ACUCAAAUGAAUUGACGGGGGCCCGCACAAGCGGUGGAGCAUGUGGUUCAAUUCGACGCAACGCGAAGAACCUUACCCAGGCUCGAACGGGGAGUGACAUUCGGUGAAAGCCGGCUUCCGCAAGGACACUCCUCGAGGUGCUGCAUGGCUGUCGUCAGCUCGUGUCGUGAGAUGUUGGGUUAAGUCCCGCAACGAGCGCAACCCUUGUCUUCUGUUGCCAUCACGUUAUGGUGGGCACUCUGAAGAGACUGCCGGUGACAAACCGGAGGAAGGUGGGGAUGACGUCAAGUCAGCAUGGCCUUUAUGUCUGGGGCUACACACGUGCUACAAUGGCAGAUACAAACCGUCGCGAUACCGCAAGGUGGAGCUAAUCGGAGAAAGUCUGUCUCAGUUCGGAUUGCAGGCUGCAACUCGCCUGCAUGAAGUUGGAAUCGCUAGUAAUCGCGGAUCAGCACGCCGCGGUGAAUACGUUCCCGGGCCUUGCACACACCGCCCGU
rnacentral:rRNA from 1 species